AGCAGCCGCGGUAAUUCCAGCUCCAAUAGCGUAUAUUAAAGUUGUUGCAGUUAAAAAGCUCGUAGUUGAAUUUCGGGACCAGUAGGUUGGUCGUGCCUACGGUACGUACUGGCUUCACUGGUUCCUCCCUUCUGACAAACCAUGAUGCCAUUAAUUUGGUGCUGUGGGGAAUCAGGACUGUUACUGUGAAAAAUUAGAGUGUUUAAAGCAGGCUUAAGCUUGAAUAUAUUAGCAUGGAAUAAUGAAAUAGGACGUUUGAUCUUAUUUUGUUGGUUUCUAGGAUCGACGUAAUGAUUAAUAGGGAUAGUUGGGGGCAUUAGUAUUCAAUUGUCAGAGGUGAAAUUCUUGGAUUUAUUGAA
rnacentral:sRNA from 1 species